AGAGAGAGAGAGAGAGAGAGAGAGGAGCUCCGUGGGGGUUUAAGCAGUAAUGGCGAUGAGGUGGUUGGGGAGGAGAGUACGAGGGAAAAUCCCCACACGCAAGGUUGCCUCUUGGGUUUUCACGGCUUCAGAUGAUUUUAUUAGAGGCGCUUCAUAUGCCACUCAGAGUGCCAUUGACGUUGGCCAGCCAACUUCGCUAUCUCAUCCUGAGUUAAUUGUAGAAGGAGAAAUCACACCUGGCAUAACUUGUGAUGAAUAUAUUUCGAGGAGAAAAAAGAUUUUGGAGCGGCUUCCAGAGAAGAGCUUGGCUAUAAUUGCUUCUGCACCCGUGAAAAUGAUGACCGAAGUGGUCCCUUACCCAUUUAGACAGGAUGCUGAUUACCUUUAUCUAACGGGUUGUGCACAACCUGGUGGUGUUGCAGUUCUAAGUGAGGAAUGCGGUUUGUGUAUGUUCAUGCCGGACUCAGAUCCUCAUGAUGUAACUUGGCAAGGUCAAAUUGCUGGAGCGGAAGCUGCGUUGGAAUUUUUUAAGGCAGAGAAGGCAUACCCGCUUAGUAAGAUGCACAAGAUCCUUCCAGAUAUGAUUGGACGAGCAACAAGAGUGUUUCAUAAUGCAAGGACCGCCUCGCCAUCUUACAUGGAGUUAGAGGCUUUUAAUAGGGCAUUGCAUAACAAACAAGUAAAAGAUGUCUCUCUUUAUAUUCACGAACUUCGAUGGUUGAAGUCAACAUCAGAGCUCAAGUUAAUGAGAGAAUCUGCAUCAGUUGCAUGCCAGUCUCUGUUGCAAACAAUGUUGUUUUCAAGGACAUUUCCAGAGGAGAGCAAACUAUCAGCUAAAGUUGAGUAUGAAUGCAAAAUGAGAGGGGCACAAAGAAUGGCGUUUAACCCUGUGGUCGGCGGUGGAGCGAAUGGAAGCAUUAUACACUACUCAAGAAAUGAUCAGAAAAUCAAAGCUGGAGAACUCGUACUAAUGGAUAUGGGGUGUGAGCUCCAUGGCUAUGUCAGUGACCUAACCCGAACUUGGUCACCUUUCGGUAGCUUUUCUCCUGCUCAGGAAAUACUCUAUAAUCUGAUAUUGGAGACAAAUAAGGAAUGCAUCAAGCUUUGUCGUCCAGGUGUGAGCAUUCGACAAAUACAUGACUACUCGGUUAAGAUGCUAAGGAAGGGACUCAAAGAGCUCAGCAUUUUAAGAGAUGAAAACAGCCUCUCAUAUCAUCAGCUGAAUCCAACCUCAAUAGGGCACUAUUUAGGAAUGGAUGUCCAUGACUCCCCCACGAUAAGCAUCGACCGCUCUCUGCAGCCAGGUGUUGUAAUUACAAUCGAGCCGGGAGUUUAUAUUCCCUCAUCUUACAAUGCACCGGAUAGUUUCCGAGGUAUCGGAAUAAGGAUUGAAGAUGAAGUCCUCAUUACCGAAACUGGGCAUGAGGUUCUUACUGCAUCAAUGCCGAAAGAGAUCUCGCAUAUCACAUCGUUGCUGAACAACUAUACAGGAACAGCCGAAGCCCCAGUGUUGAGAGCAGCAUUCUAGAGGGAGGACUAUUGCCUUGUGAAACUAACAUGGAGGAUACAAAGAGUAGUUGGUUGUACUUCAAGAGGAGCAAAAUGAAAAUUUGUAUUCGCAUGAUGAUAACCAAGAUCUGAAUUGCUGGUGUUGUUGCAAAGAGGAUGGCGAGGGCGUGUGUCUGGGCAUGGACAGAGGAAUGUGCGAGGGCGAGGCGGCGGAGGGUGAAGCAGCGGCCAUGGGCAUGUGUGUGGGUAUGAAUGAGAAUUUCAGAAAUAUUUUGGGUAUAAAAAAUAAGAUAUAAAUGGAAUUCUAACGAAACACUGACGGCAAGGACCGAAGUGAAUAUUUUUUAUUUUUUAAAGAGUGCAAAGUAUAGGUUUCUGAAUGACA